rnacentral:rRNA from 1 species
GUUUGAUCCUGGCUCAGGACGAACGCUGGCGGCGUGCUUAAUACAUGCAAGUCGAGCGAGAAAGUCUCCUUCGGGAGGCGAGUAGAGCGGCGAACGGGUGAGUAACGCGUAGAUUAUCUACCCCAAAGACUGAGAUAACACCGGGAAACUGGUGCUAAUACCGGAUAAGGUUUCAUCAUGGGAGUGAUGAGAUGAAAGGAGCUUGCUCCGCUUGGGGAUGAGUCUGCGUUCUAUCAGCUAGUUGGUUGGGUAAUGGCUGACCAAGGCUAAGACGGAUAACUGGUCUGAGAGGAUGAUCAGUCACACUGGCACUGAGACACGGGCCAGACUCCUACGGGAGGCAGCAGUAGGGAAUAUUGCGCAAUGGGCGAAAGCCUGACGCAGCGACGCCGCGUGAGUGAUGAAGGUCUUAUAGAUUGUAAAGCUCUGUAAAGAGGGAAGAAAGAAAUGACGGUACCUCUAAAGUAAGGACCGGCUAAAUAUGUGCCAGCAGCCGCGGUAAUACAUAUGGUCCUAGCGUUGUCCGGAAUGACUGGGCGUAAAGGGUGCGUAGGUGGUUAUACAAGUCAGGUGUGAAAACCCUGAGCUUAACUUAGGAACUGCGCUUGAAACUGUAUAACUAGAGCGUGUCAGGGGUAAGCGGAAUUCCCGGAGUAGCGGUGAAAUGCGUAGAGAUCGGGAAGAACACCGGUGGCGAAGGCGGCUUACUGGGACAUGGCUAACACUGAGGCACGAAAGCGUGGGGAGCGAACGGGAUUAGAUACCCCGGUAGUCCACGCUGUAAACGAUGUAUACUAGAUGUUGGCUCCAAUUAAGGAGUCGGUGUCGAAGCAAACGUGAUAAGUAUACCGCCUGGGGAGUACGGUCGCAAGAUUAAAACUCAAAGGAAUUGACGGGGGCCCGCACAAGCGGUGGAGCAUGUGGUUUAAUUCGAUGCAACGCGAAGAACCUUACCCGGUCUUGACAUCCUUCCGACGGGAUUUAGAGAUAGAUCCUUUCUCUUCGGAGACGGAAGUGACAGGUGCUGCAUGGCUGUCGUCAGCUCGUGUUGUGAGAUGUUGGGUUAAGUCCCGCAACGAGCGCAACCCUUGCCAUUAGUUGCCAUCAUUUAGUUGGGCACUCUAAUGGGACUGCCGAGGUUAACUCGGAGGAAGGUGGGGAUGACGUCAAGUCCUCAUGGCCCUUAUGACCGGGGCUACACACGUGCUACAAUGGUAGGGACAAAGUGAAGCUAGACUGCGAAGUGGAGCGAAUCACAAAAACCUUAUCUUAGUUCGGAUUGAAGUCUGCAACCCGACUUCAUGAAGUUGGAAUCGCUAGUAAUCGCGGAUCAGCAUGCCGCGGUGAAUACGUUCCCGGGCCUUGUACACACCGCCCGUCACACCAUGGGAGUUGUUCUCACUGGAAAACGUUGGGCCAGCCUUCGGGAGGUAGGCGUUGAUGGUGAGGAUGAUGACUGGGGUGAAGUCGGAACAAGGUA